UUAGGGCAAGGUAGCUGGGUUGGAGACCUACAAAACCGUACCAAUCUUGCCCGGAUUGGUGGCCGGAGGAGGGAGUUCCGGCGAGUGAAGCAACACGGCAGUCGCACCUUUCGGGGGAGAGCGCUCCUUCACGGCGGCGCUAGGGCGGCUAUCACCGGCCUAGAAUGGAAGCUGGGUCGGAGGGCAACUGAACGGGACCGGUGCGGCAGUCCCAGGCGGCCGGACGACGGCGGACGAGCGGCCGGAAUGUUGGGCAGCGGGUGGACUCAGGGGAGAGGAAAACCGGGAAGAAAAAGAGAGAAGAGAAGAGUGGGUUUUGGGCCUCCACCCAAACCGGUCCAAGACUAUAAUAUACCCAACUCCACUAAAAAAAAAUUACACCCCAAAAUAAUACCCUAAUAAAAAUUACCUUUUACUAGCUAAAAUUUUACCAUUUUUACCGUCGUCAUAAUUUUCUCCUACGAAUAAUCCUCCGCAUAUAAUCGUCCCCGAAACCCCUCUAGGGACCAAUUAAACUAUUUCCUCAAUGACGGAGAUGGUAAAAUUCUUAUUAUAACCAAGCUAGUAAAUAAGGUAAAAAUUUAAGGGUCGAGAUGUGACAUAUGUCUAAAAGGAAGUUUGAGGAAAUUCGAUCGGGAAGUGGUGCAAAAAUAGAAAUCCACACCAAAACUUUGGUGCGGACGUCCGCACCUGAGAAAGGCUAUAUAUAUAUAUCAGUUCUUAUCCACAGAGAAGCUUCGCUCUGAAAUUAAAGUGUGAAGUUCCUUAUUUGACUCACUUUUAUUUCAUAUUUCCACAUCUCCACCUUUUGGUUUGUAGAACUAAAUGCAUAAAUCACUUCUGUAAAGUUUCAUUGAAUUUGAUGAUCGUCUAGGUGUUCAUAAUCGUGAUUUACACAAACAGUUUUGAUUAGACAUAUUUAUGGUCCGUUCAUUGAUUUAACCUAAUUUGUAGAUAAACGAUCAUUCCUACAAAAUUUUGUCCGCACAUUAGUAUCAAUAAUCUGAACAAUGGAGAUGUGGAAAUAUGAUGAAAAAGUGAAUCAAAUAAGGAACUUCACAAUUUAAUUUCAGAGCGAAGCUUCGCUCUGGAUAGAAACUAUAUAUAUAUAUAUAUAUAUAUACAGGAAUUCUUAUGUGCGGACGUCCGCACCAAAGUUUUGGUGCGGAUUUCCAUUUUUACACCACUUUUCAAUCGAAUUUUCUCAUCUCCACCGUCUAGUAUCUAGAUAAUAUUAUGUAGAUCAUCUCUGCAAAAUUUCAGCUAAUUUGGUAAUCGUUAAGGCCCUCAAACUCAAAAAACAAAUGGACGGACUAAAUUAUGUCCGGUUGUGUUCAUACCAGAAAAACUCGAGUUUGAGGGCCUUAACGAUCACCAAAUUGGCUGAAAUUUUGCAGAGAUGAUCUACACAAUUAUUAUCUAGAUACUAGAC
rnacentral:lncRNA from 1 species